ensembl:lncRNA
GGGAUGGGUAACGCUGCUUCGAGUGUGGCUGUUGUCGAUGUGUUCCUGGUUUGAGCCCAUGCAGGGGCGAGGAGAGGGACGGAAGCUAUACUGUUACACUGACAAUACUAUAGUUCCUAUAAGAACAUCCAAUAGUCAAAGGUAUAUGAAAUGCAAAUGGUAUAGAGAGAGAAAUAGUCCUAUAAAUACUAUAUUAACUACAACCUAAAACCUCUUACCUUGGAAUAUUAAAGUCUCAUGUUAAAAGGACCCACCAACUUUCAUAUGUUCUCAUGUUCUGAGCAAGGAACUCAAACGUUAGCUUUUUUACAUGCACAUAUUGCACUUUUACUUCUCCGACACUUUGUUUUUGCAUUAUUUAAACCAAAUUGAACAUGUUUUAUUAUCAUUAUCAUCAUUAUUUGAUUUUUAUUGAUGUAUUAUAUUAAGUUAAAAUAAGUGUUCAUUCAGUAUUGUUGUAAUUGUCAUUAUUACAAAUAAAUAAAUAAAAAUAGUCUGAUUAAUCGGUAUCGGCUUUUUUGGUCCUCCAAUAAUCGGUAUCGGUGUUGAAAAAUCAUAAUCGGUCGACCUCUAGUCCAUAGUCCGGACAACGCGGUCCAUGGCGGUGCCAAGAUGGUGAAGCAUUGCUGCGUGCUCCCGGACACGCUCCUUCACCCCUAUAACCGACUUCAUAGACAGGUCAGUGAUUCUGUAAGGGUGCGUGCUGGUGGCAGGGAAGUCAGGCGCAGGAGAUAGAACUUGGUAUAAAUGGAGCAGUUUAAUAGGUGCUAAAAAAAAGAAAAAUACAAAAAAAAAAAAUAAUAAUAAUAAUAAUACAAGUGGGUACAAAACCCGUCAGACACCAGGACAAAUAUUGCACAAUGCUUACAAACAAACAAUCACCGACAAGGACAAUGAGGGGGAACAGAGGGUUAAAUACACAACAUGUAAUGAAUGGGAUUAAAACCAGGUAUGAUACAAGACAAGACAAAACCAAAGGAAAAUGAAAAGAGGAUCAGUGAUGGCUAGAAGGUCGGUGACUUCGACCGCCGAACGUCGCCCGAACAAGGAGAGGGACCAACUUCGGCGGAAGUCGUGAGAAAUACAUGGUUUUAACAUCUACCGAAAAGACAGAAAUACCAACGGAGGUGGUGUUGCGGUCUAUAUUCAGAACCACAUUCCUGUAAAGCUUAGAGACGAUCUAAUGUUCCUAAGGCUCCUGUCUCAGCCUCCAGUAUUUAUGCUGCAGUAGUUUAUGUGUCGGGGGGCUAGGGUCAGUUUGUUAUAUCUGGAGUACUUCUCCUGUCCUAUUCGGUGUCCUGUGUGAAUCUAAGUGUGCGUUCUCUAAUUCUCUCCUUCUCUCUUUCUUUCUCUCUCUCGGAGGACCUGAGCCCUAGGACCAUGCCCCAGGACUACCUGACAUGAUGACUCCUUGCUGUCCCCAGUCCACCUGGCCGUGCUGCUGC